rnacentral:rRNA from 1 species
UACAGAGGGGGCUAGCGUUGUUCGGAAUUACUGGGCGUAAAGGGCGCGUAGGUGGCCUGUUAAGUCGAACGUGAAAUCCCCGGGCUCAACCCGGGAACUGCGUCCGAGACUGGCAGGCUCGAAUCCGGGAGAGGGAUGUGGAAUUCCAGGUGUAGCGGUGAAAUGCGUAGAUAUCUGGAGGAACACCGGUGGCGAAGGCGGCAUCCUGGACCAAUAUUGACGCUGAGGAGCGAAAGCUAGGGGGAGCAAACGGG